rnacentral:rRNA from 1 species
GAUGGCGACCGGCGCACGGGUGAGUAACACGUAUCCAACCUGCCGAUGACGUCGGGGGUAGCCUUUCGAAAGAAAGAUUAAUACCCGAUGGCAUAGUUCUUCCGCAUGGUAGAACUAUUAAAGAAUUUCGGUCAUCGAUGGGGAUGCGUUCCAUUAGGUUGUUGGCGGGGUAACGGCCCACCAAGCCUUCGAUGGAUAGGGGUUCUGAGAGGAAGGUCCCCCACAUUGGAACUGAGACACGGUCCAAACUCCUACGGGAGGCAGCAUG